CCUGGCUCAGAUUGAACGCUGGCGGCAGGCCUAACACAUGCAAGUCGAACGGUAGCACAGAGGAGCUUGCUCCUUGGGUGACGAGUGGCGGACGGGUGAGUAAUGUUUGGGAAACUGCCUGAUGGAGGGGGAUAACGACUGGAAACGGUAGCUAAUACCGCAUAACAUCGCAAGAUCAAAGAGUGGGACCUUCGGGCCUCUUGCCAUAGGAUGUGCCCAGAUGGGAUUAGCUAGUUGGUGGGGUAACGGCUCACCAAGGCGACGAUCCCUAGCUGGUCUGAGAGGAUGACCAGCCACACUGGAACUGAGACACGGUCCAGACUCCUACGG
rnacentral:rRNA from 1 species